GAGGAUGCAGGCGUUAUCCGGAUUUAUUAGGUUUAAAGGGUGUCUAGGCUGCCACAUAAGUCAGGGGUGAAAGUCGGUUGCUCAACAAUCGAAUGGCCUUUGAAACUGUGUGGCUCGAGUAUAGAUGAGGUAGNCGGAAUGUUGUAGUGUAGCGGUGAAAUGCAUAGAUAUUACACAGAACCCCAAUUGCGAAGGCAGCUUACCAAACUAUUACUGACGCUGAAGCACGAAAGCGUGGGUUAGCGAACAGGAUUAGAUACCCUGGUAGUCCACGCCGUAAACUAUGCUCACUCGCUGUUGGCAAUAGAUCGUCAGCGGCUAAGGGAAACCGAUAAGUGAGCCACCUGGGGAGUACGAUCGCAAGAUUGAAACUCAAAGGAAUUGACGGGGGCCCGCACAAGCGGAGGAACAUGUGGUUUAAUUCGAUGAUACGCGAGGAACCUUACCUGGGCUUAAAUGUAGAGUGCAUAAAGUGGAAACAUUUUUUUCCUUCGGGACUCUUUACAAGGUGCUGCAUGGUUGUCGUCAGCUCGUGCCGUGAGGUGUCGGGUUAAGUCCCAUAACGAGCGCAACCCCUAUCGUUAGUUACCAGCACGUAGUGGUGGGGACUCUAGCGAAACUGCCGGUGUAAACCGUGAGGAAGGUGGGGAUGACGUCAAAUCAGCACGGCCCUUAUGUCCAGGGCUACACACGUGUUACAAUGGUCGGUACAGUGGGCAGCCACAUAGCAAUAUGGAGCUAAUCUCAAAAGCCGAUCUCAGUUCGGAUUGGAGUCUGCAACCCGACUCCAUGAAGGUGGAUUCGCUAGUAAUCGCGCAUCGGCCAUGGCGCGGUGAUACGUUCCCGGGCCUUGUACACACCGCCCGUCAAGCCAUGGAAGUUUGGGGUGCCUGAAGUUCGUAACCGCAAGGAGCGACCUAGGGUAAAACAAAUGANUGGGGCUAAGUCG
rnacentral:rRNA from 1 species